rnacentral:snoRNA from 1 species
CCCCUCUCAAGAUCGAACCUGGAGAGUUUCCAGUACUCUACCAGUCUCGGCUACAUGAAGGAGAGUCAAGCAGAGGCUUGAGCAUUCCGUUUCUAGCUUGGGCAGUGGCUAGAGAGUGGAAGGCAAUCUGCUACAAGU